CGCGAAGAACCUUACCUAAGCUUGACAUCCUUAUGCCGUGCUCUUAAUGGAGUAUUUCCUUUCGGGGACAUAAGAGACAGGUGGUGCAUGGUUGUCGUCAGCUCGUGUCGUGAGAUGUUGGGUUAAGUCCCGCAACGAGCGCAACCCUUGCCUUUAGUUGCCAGCAAUAAGAUGGGAACUCUAGAGGGACUGCCAGGGAUAACCUGGAGGAAGGUGGGGAUGACGUCAAAUCAUCAUGCCCCUUAUGCUUAGGGCUACACACGUGCUACAAUGGGUGGUACAGAGGGAAGCGAAGCCGUGAGGUGGAGCAAAUCCCACAAAGCCAUUCUCAGUUCGGAUUGUAGGCUGAAACUCGCCUACAUGAAGCUGGAGUUACUAGUAAUCGCAGAUCAGAAUGCUGCGGUGAAUGCGUUCCCGGGUCUUGUACACACC
rnacentral:rRNA from 1 species